rnacentral:rRNA from 1 species
UCCGUAGGUGAACCUGCGGAAGGAUCAUUAGUGAAUAUAGGACGUCCAACUUAACUUGGAGUCCGAACUCUCACUUUCUAACCCUGUGCACUUGUUUGGGAUAGUAACUCUCGCAAGAGAGCGAACUCCUAUUCACUUAUAAACACAAAGUCUAUGAAUGUAUUAAAUUUUAUAACAAAAUAAAACUUUCAACAACGGAUCUCUUGGCUCUCGCAUCGAUGAAGAACGCAGCGAAAUGCGAUAAGUAAUGUGAAUUGCAGAAUUCAGUGAAUCAUCGAAUCUUUGAACGCACCUUGCGCUCCAUGGUAUUCCGUGGAGCAUGCCUGUUUGAGUGUCAUGAAUACUUCAACCCUCCUCUUUCUUAAUGAUUGAAGAGGUGUUUGGUUUCUGAGCGCUGCUGGCCUUUACGGUCUAGCUCGUUCGUAAUGCAUUAGCAUCCGCAAUCGAACUUCGGAUUGACUUGGCGUAAUAGACUAUUCGCUGAGGAAUUCUAGUCUUCGGAUUAGAGCCGGGUUGGGUUAAAGGAAGCUUCUAAUCAGAAUGUCUACAUUUUAAGAUUAGAUCUCAAAUCAGGUAGGACUACCCGCUGAACUUAAGCAUAUCAAUAAGCGGAAGGAAAG